rnacentral:snRNA from 1 species
UUAUUUUUAGCAGCACAUAUACUAACAUUGGAACGAUGUCCAGAGAAGAUUAGCAUGGCCUCUGUGCAAGGAAGACACUCAAACUGUGAAGCAUUCCAUAUUAAA